UACAGAGGUCUCAAGCGUUGUUCGGAUUCAUUGGCGUAAAGGGUGCGUAGGUGGCGAGGCAAGUCAGAUGUGAAAUCCCGGGGCUCAACCCCGAACUGCACUUGAAACUGCCUUGCUCGAGUACUGGAGAGGAGACUGGAAUUUACGGUGUAGCAGUGAAAUGCGUAGAUAUCGUAAGGAAGACCAGUGGCGAAGGCGAGUCUCUGGACAGUUACUGACACUGAGGCACGAAGGCCAGGGAGCAAACGGG
rnacentral:rRNA from 1 species